GGGGUUGUGGCUCAGUGGUAGAGCACUUGCCUAGCAUGUAUGAGGCACUGGGUUCAAUUUUCAGCAUCACGU
rfam:Ictidomys tridecemlineatus contig035503, whole genome shotgun sequence.